rnacentral:rRNA from 3 species
CACGUAGGGGGCGAGCGUUGUCCGGAUUUAUUGGGCGUAAAGAGCUCGUAGGCGGUUUGGCAAGUCGGGUGUGAAAUUUCGAGGCUCAACCUCGAAACGCCACUCGAUACUGCCAUGACUGGAGUCCGGUAGAGGAGUGCGGAAUUCCUGGUGUAGCGGUGAAAUGCGCAGAUAUCAGGAGGAACACCAACGGCGAAGGCAGCACUCUGGGCCGGUACUGACGCUGAGGAGCGAAAGCGUGGGGAGCAAA